UUUUGUUUUGUUUUGUUUUUUCUGGAGAGGACGGAGUGCUGUCAUCUAGAUAACAUUUUCAAAGCUUAAUGACCUUGGCAGAGUGGCUUUGCAGGCAGGGAGCUGGGACUCUUUACCUGCAGGCAGACAUGGAGAAAAACAACGAACAUGGGCAGAGUUCUGGAUCCCUCACAGAAGAGUGUUUUGGGAUAACCCACCCACCCACACAAGACAUCAGCUGGUUAUGAAGCAAGCCAUGCAGUCUUAGAGUUAAUUCACAAGUGUGUCUGCCACUAAGGAAAUCAUCUCCAGCAUCAUUAUCAUUUUGAUUGUUUUGGAGAGGAAAGGAAAACAGAGAAGAAGGCAUUGUUCCUGCGGAGCACAAGCUGUGGACAUCUCACCACAUCUGCGGCUUAAGGGGGAGGCUACAAAGCAGAUGUUCUAUAGCCAGAGCAAGCAAAUCUUCCCUCCUCAGGUUACCAGCGGCUCAGGAGUGUUGGGAGUUGCCACAAAGGGAGUCGCCAUCCAUGACAUAGCACAAGCUCUUUUCCUCAUCCAUGACCUUAGACAGAACCCUUCUGAUUUUCUUUAUCAUUCCAAUCUAGAAUCCCUUCC
rnacentral:lncRNA from 1 species